UGGUACACUCGUACCUUAUGUGCCACCGAAGCCCCGAAGUACUCUGGCGUAUACCUUCGCAUGUAAGUAAACGAAUGUAUCUCCUUGUUGAGAAUAUCACGCGAGUAGGCAGCUCUUGUGGUGCAUCACAAUCGUUUGAGAAGCGUCACAGUAGAGCAUUUUUCUACAUGCGGAGCGGUGUUUUUAUUUGCAGGUUUCCCUUCAGUAGGAAAUUGCUGGACAGGCGGACCAGCGCACCGGGAUUGUACUGGCAAAGCCACAAGCAACUCAAAGAAUCUGUUUAAUUGUUGCUCUUUGAACAAUCAUGCUUCUACAAAGGCCACAGCAGAAAAACAGCGUGAUGCCGAGUAUUUCUGUGCCACGAAGUAAUCAAGAGAUUGCAAUGGCAAGCCCUUCCGUGUGUUCCAAAGGUAAAAUUUAAGCUCUAAAUUAAAGAAGACAUUUCUAGUCAGAAACAAGCAAAAAUGGUGAAUGCAGAGUAUCAGAAGCCCAAGGUACAGAAAUUAUGAGAAGUGUCGAAUGAUUUUAAGGAAAGAGUCGUAUUUAAAAAUGCAAGACUCUUUAGUGGAGGUCAAGCAAGUCAAUAUAGGUAGAAUACUCUGCAAAAUUAUGCGAGUGAGGGGAUGUCAAACAAUGGGUCAGGAAAUGCGUUGUUUUUCUGCAAAUUCAGAAAUAAACCAAACAACAAGACAUGCAAUAAUAAAAAAACAAUUUAUUGAUGCUCUCUCCACACUGGGAUAAAUAAAAACAAACACAUCACAUCUAAUGUAGACAUAUCAGACGCCUUGUGAAACACUAAAGGAAAAAUUCCGUUUCGAGCUAUGGCACUUGCCGCAUAGAUGUGGGGGGCCUUGCACUAAUAGUGAUAGUUACCACUGCAUUUAGAAAUUGAAAGCAUUCAUGCAGACAAGGAUGAUUCUUUAUAUUUUUGGCUACCACUUCAAAUGCCUCCACCAAGUGUAACAAUGCUGCACGCAGCCAUACUAAGGAUCUCGCAGCAACACCUGCAGGUAAAAAGCAGACGCAGUCAAAGUGCUGGUGUGUACUGGACACUAUGUUUGAAAACUUUUAGGCAAGAAGAGUGCAAGAAGCAGACAUAACGGCAUUUAUUUCCAUAAUUCCCCAUUUGAAUGGCCUUUUCUUUUUGCUUAGACAAUGCCUACGCCUAGCCACAGCAGCUCCCUCAUACAGACUCCGCAAGCCAAGAGGCCGUGGAGGCAAAUGCAGGCAGCCAACACAGCUCGAACAGCCACCUUAACUGCAGAUGUGUCACCCUAGUCACCAAGGAAACAUUUGAGGGAAAGCGACAGGCAAUGUGAACAGCCACUUCUCCAUGUAAACGAUACUCUUUCUCUCGGAUGACUCCUACGCCACGCCAGCACACUUGUGCACAAAGAUGCCACGGAGGCACGUGCAGGUAGAGGCAAGAAGCAGUGGCACUGGUGUCGACAUUCACCCAAUUUCUUUUUCUUACACUGAGGCAGCCAGCAUACCUCAAACAGCCACCUUGACUGCGGGUGUGUCAGUAGAUUCCUGUUGUACAUAUGCUCAUAAUAAACUAGAGUAAACUUGAACUUGAUAAUAAACUUGAAGGCAAAUGGGACAUUGAUGCAUUGUUUUUUUGAACAUUUAUUGUACACAUACAAUAUAUGUUAUACUUUGCAGUGCUACAGAGCGUAUUUUGAAGCUUCCCCCUAUAUUUUGCACCUUUAAUUACGUACGUGUUGUGUGGCCCUCAAUGCAGUUCAUGUUGUAGCAGCUGCUUUUUCUGUGUAUGGCACAUUGGCUUAAGUUCGUGAUAUCCACAUACUUCUCUCACAUAUACAAAAUAAAGUUCUAUGUAGUCCUCAGUGUUAUACAACAAAAAAUGAAAGUAAACAAUCCGAUCGUGGAAUUGUGUUUGUUACAGUGAUUCCUAUGACAGUUACUGCCAAGCUGACAACUUGAACUGGUCAAUCCGUCCAUAGCCUCCUCUAUUUUUCAAAAAUAAAGGAGGCUAUGAUCCGUCAUG